rnacentral:rRNA from 1 species
CUAAAUGCAUCGCCGGGCCCAGAUGGCUUCAAUGUGGAGUUUUACCUUGCUUCUUGGGACUGGAUUGGCGAUGAAGUCACUAAUUUGGUAGUCAGCUUCUACAAAUCAGGUAUAUUACCUCCUCAUAUUAGUGAUACUAAUAUUUCUCUCAUUCCUAAGAAGCUAGUUCCUCAAGUUCCCAUGGAUUUUAGACCUAUUAGUCUUUGCAAUGUUGUUUAUAAGAUCAUUGCUAAAUCCUUAGCUAAUAGGCUAAAACCUCAUUUGCCUGAUUAUAUCGACCCUGCUCAACAAGCUUUUAUUGAAGGUCGUAGAAUUAGUGACAACAUUAUUAUUGCCCAAGAGAUCACCCAUUCUUUUGCUCUCAAAUCUUGGGAACAUCAUGCUUUCAUGCUUAAAAUUGACUUGGCUAAAGCUUUUGAUCGCCUUGAAUGGAACUUCAUUGUCUCUGCUCUGGCUCGUAAAGGGCUACAUGAUCAUUUUAUAAACUUGAUCUAUGCCUGCAUUUCCACACCUACUUUCUCUGUCAUCAUUAAUGGCCAGCCUUCUCAUAAAUUUAAAAGUCAUAGAGGGAUUCGUCAGGGUUGUCCUCUGUCUCCUUAUCUUUUUGUUCUAGCUAUAAAUGAAUUGUCUCUUGCACUGAAUGAUGCCAUGGCUGCUAACCAUCUUCAGGGUAUUUCUCUUGGACCAAAUUGCCCUCCUGUUCACUCUCUUCUUUUUGUAGAUGAUCUUCUGGUUUGUGGACAAGCUAAUACAUCUGAAGUUGACACUAUGGCUCAAAUUAUUCAUCAUCUUUGUGUUAUUUCAGGUCAAACUCCUAACUGGUCA